rnacentral:rRNA from 1 species
UACGUAGGGGGCAAGCGUUGUCCGGAUUUACUGGGCGUAAAGAGCGUGUAGGCGGCCAAGCAGGUCCGUUGUGAAAACUGGAGGCUUAACCCCCAGACGUCGACGGAAACCGCGUGGCUAGAGUCCGGAAGAGGAGAGUGGAAUUCCUGGUGUAGCGGUGAAAUGCGCAGAUAUCAGGAAGAACACCAAUGGCGAAGGCAGCUCUCUGGGACGGUACUGACGCUGAGACGCGAAAGCGUGGGGAGCGAACAGG